UACGGAGGAUCCGAGCGUUAUCCGGAUUUAUUGGGUUUAAAGGGAGCGUAGGUGGAUUGUUAAGUCAGUUGUGAAAGUUUGCGGCUCAACCGUAAAAUUGCCGUUGAAACUGGAAGACUUGAGUGUGUUUGAGGUAGGCGGAAUGCGUGGUGUAGCGGUGAAAUGCAUAGAUAUCACGCAGAACCCCGAUUGCGAAGGCAGCAUACCGGCGCCCUACUGACGCUGAGGCACGAAAGCGUGGGGAGCAAAUAGG
rnacentral:rRNA from 1 species